rnacentral:piRNA from 1 species
UCCCUNUGGUUCAGUUGUAAUGGUUAGUG